rnacentral:rRNA from 1 species
AACUUUCAACAACGGAUCUCUUGGUUCUGGCAUCGAUGAAGAACGCAGCGAAAUGCGAUAAGUUAAUGUGAAUUGCAGAAUUCAGUG